AUGCCGGCUCUCAUGGCGAAGCGCUCUUCCUCGGAUCGGUGCGUGAUCCGCCGCGAGCUCCACCGGCGCAGGAAGCUCGCCGCCGCGCCCAAAGGAGGGAUCGUCAAGCCGAGGAAGCCGUCGUCCAUGACCAUGCCGGUGCCACGCCCGCAAGCCGGGGUCGCGACGUCGCCUGCGUCAAUCCCGCAGCACGCGCCAGCGGCAGUGGCCACCAAGAAGCAGGUUGCCGCCGUGGCCAAGGAGAUCGCCGCGUCUGUGCCGCUGGGACAGGUUGCCAAGAGGUGCACCGCCCCGCCGCGCCGAUCCGCGCUCAUCCCGGCCGCGUCCAAGAUGAAAGUUUCCGCUGUCAAAAGGGCCUCGGGAGUUCCCAGCAACCCCGCGUCACCCUGCCCAUCGGAUUCAAGUGGAGCUGACACCACGGAGCUAUCCGCCACCGCCGGAGCAGCGUGCAUCAAGAACAUGCCAACCAUACCGACCCGGUCGCGCUCUUCGUCGAUCAGGGUGAAGAAGGGCAUGACGGUGAAGGUCCGCGCGCGCGCCGGGAUCCUGCCGACGGGGCACUGCCUCCUGCUCUGGCUCGCCGCCCGCGUCGUCUCCGACGCAGCAGAUGACGGGUUCCUCGAAGUGAUGUACAACGGCAACUUCCCCCGCGACGACCCCCUCCGAACCGUGCGCGUCGCCAUGGACGACGUCAGGAGCAUGCCCGCCAUCGGCGAGAGUUAG
rnacentral:rRNA from 1 species